CAAGAUCAAGCGAUUCCUGGGCAAGAAAACAAGAGCAGAAUUGUCCCAUUCCCCAGUGGAUUUGGAUGAAAACUGGUACUAAAAUCACGUACAACUCCAACAAGAGACAUUAGAGAAGAACCAAGAACCUGGGUCUAUAAGGAAUCACACAUGAGAUGGUCUGCCCUGGCUUCAGACUGAAGAGUUAGGGAAAAUGGGAAGGACCUUGAAUACUCUUUGGCUUUGGAGAAAUGCAAUAUGUGGUUGAAAUUCAACUUGAUAUCAUUAACUCUGUUAUAAAAACCCAUGGCAAACACAAGAGGCCCUAAAGGAAUGUGUGUUCGAUCUUCUGGAAACAUUAUUGCUGCAGAUCCUGUGAGAUCUUUGGCUCUGGAACAGUAGCGAAGAG